rnacentral:rRNA from 1 species
CCUACGGGUGGCAGCAGUGAGGAAUAUUGCGCAAUGGGCGAAAGCCUGACGCAGCGACGCCGCGUGAGGGAUGAAGGUCUUCGGAUCGUAAACCUCUGUCAGCAGGGAGGAACGGUCACUGUGCUAAUCAGCAGUGAAUUGACGGUACCUGCAAAGGAAGCACCGGCUAACUCCGUGCCAGCAGCCGCGGUAAUACGGAGGGUGCGAGCGUUAAUCGGAAUUACUGGGCGUAAAGCGCUCGUAGGCGGUAUGUCAAGUCAAGGGUGAAAUCCCCGCGCUCAACGUGGGAACUGCCUGUGAAACUGGCAAGCUGGAGUUUGUGAGAGGAUAGUGGAAUUCCAGGUGUAGGAGUGAAAUGCGUAGAGAUCUGGAGGAACAUCAGUGGCGAAGGCGACUAUCUGGCAGAUAACUGACGCUGAGGAGCGAAAGCGUGGGUAGCAAACAGGAUUAGAUACCCCAGUAGUC